AACGCGAAAAACCUUACCUACCCUUGACAUGGAUGGAAUCCCGGAGAGAUUUGGGAGUGCUCGAAAGGGAACCAUUACACAGGUGCUGCAUGGCUGUCGUCAGCUCGUGUCGUGAGAUGUUGGGUUAAGUCCCGCAACGAGCGCAACCCUUGUCAUUAGUUGCUACGAAAGAGCACUCUAAUGAGACUGCCGGUGACAAACCGGAGGAAGGUGGGGAUGACGUCAAGUCCUCAUGGCCCUUAUGGGUAGGGCUUCACACGUCAUACAAUGGUACAUACAGAGGGCCGCCAACCCGCGAGGGGGAGCUAAUCCCAGAAAGUGUAUCGUAGUCCGGAUUGUAGUCUGCAACUCGACUGCAUGAAGUUGGAAUCGCUAGUAAUCGCGGAUCAGCAUGUCGACCGGUAA
rnacentral:rRNA from 1 species